GCCUUUUUGAGUCCAGAGUGGCAGAAGCUCCAGUCCAGCAUUCUCAGAGGAGCCCUUCCAUGGGAAGCAGUGCUUUGGUUCCUUUCAGGUGCCAGAGCUUCUUUGCCCAGGUGAAUCAAUCACUGGAGAAAGACAGCCUGACCAUCAGAUCAGCCCUUUCUGGGCAGAGACCCCACAGUACCACCCACCUGCUGGCUGGGAGAUCCACACAUCUCCCAAAGCUUCUAAAAGACAAAAGCAUCACAAAAUCAAUCCUUAGUGGUGCAUCUCAGAAGAGGUGUAAGGAGCUGGACUUCAGCAGAGCCAAGAUUGAGCACAGAAGUCGGCAAGAAGAGCAGAGGCAGCUGAAGAGAGAGCAGCAGCAAGAGGCAGAUGGCACCCGCCGCCAGCUGCGCAGGGACAGCCAGAGGUGAUGCUGGGAACUGACUGCUUUUUGUGCUAAAGGUUGGAAGGUUGGUAACAUCUGCUCCCUGCUGCUCUCCUUCAGUCCCUACAGAUCCCACCUUGUGCUUUUUGCUGGGCUCUACAGAGGGGUCACAGUGGUUCCCUACUGGGAAUGAAAUUGGUGCUGGAGCUGUGAGGGAGUGAGUACACAGUGUUAUCUCCAAGGGCAAAUUCCCUUCAGUCCUGCUCUCAGAUCAAAACUGCUGACAUCAGGCACCAGCCUGUUUGGGGCUUUUGCUACCUCUGUUCUGGACACAGGGUUUAAUCCUCAUAACCUAACAAAGAAUCCUGGAAUGUUAACUGAACACAGAUUGCCAGAAUAUCUGCUUUGUGUCUUAUGCACUGUCUUUCUUUUUUAUUGCUCUUUCUUUAUGAGAAAUUUGAGAAAUUUUGUUUUGGAAACAGGCAGCGAUUGCGUCAGAGAACAUUGCAAGGACUGGAGAAACAGCUGGAGCACGAAGAGAGAGCUUUGCAGCACAUGGCACUGCUCCAGGCUGCUAGGGCUGAGAGGAGCAGGAAGGAAUCCUGCUCUCGAGAGGAGGAGGAGAGGAAGGCAAGGCAGAGGCUUCAGUUCUUAAAGACACGGCGUUUGCAGAGAGAGGAGUUGCAGGCAGAAAGCAACAACAGGAGCUGUGAACAAGAGAAAAAAAGGCUGGAGCUGCUGAGGAGCAGAAUGCAGUCACGGCAGGAAGUGCUGGAACAAGAAUCCCAGGAGCAGAGCAAACAUCAAAACCAGCACCAGGCUGCCAAAGUGAGAGUGUUCCAGAGGAGAGAGAGUUCUCAUCUGAAGAUGGAAAAAGAAGGGCAGAAGCUCCAUGCCCUCCAGCAGUACCUCAGGGAAGAGAAGCUCCUGCUGCUCCGAGCAUCCCUGCUCGAGUAAGGAGGCUGCACAGUGGGUGAGCAGGGCCUGGAGCAGUUCACAGACCUGCUGUGUGCUGUCACCUGUGAGUCAGUGUGCCAGAGCAGAGUGUGACAGGUGGCAUUUGGAUUCCUGGAGAGGUCUCUAAUCUCCCUUUCACUGCAGCCAGAGUGCAAUUCCACUGUUCUGUCCUUCACCUGCCUUUCUUCCUGGGGUCACUGGCUUCCCCCUCUCCUGAGAGGGAGCAGUAGGGCACAUCUACAGGCACUAUUCUGCACCAGAAAGGAGGGGGUUUUUAGUGCAUUGUACUGUGGUGAGUGGAGAUGCCAAAGGACAGGAGGAGGAGGUUAAGCUUAUCACAUCCUGAAGUGCUCCCUUUACCUCACAUCAUCUGAGGUACAAAAUUCUCUGUAGCUGUGCCACAGGAAAUGCACUGAUCAGCUCUGAGUAACCAGAAAUUUCAGCCAGGUAUUUAGGAAAGGAGAAUGGACACAGCACAAUUUAUUUGGUGAAACAGUCAGAGCUAUAUGGAAAUAUCUUUAUUUUACACAGAAUUAUGCUAAAAUGAAUACAAUAUAUGUGAUACCUUGUUUCAAGGAAUGCCUGGAACCAAACUAGAUAAAAAAUUCAAACUUGGCCUGACAUUCUGUAUACACUUAGAAACAUGAUACACAUUUUCUGGCACAUUAUAAAACUUUAUGCCUCCUUCUAGAAUAUAGCAACAGUGAUAAUGGCAGUUUCUUUAAAAAAAAAACCAAAAAAGUAAAAUUGUAAGAAAACUUGUAAAAGGGAGCUCCUUUGAAAUCCUGCCAAAUCUGAAUGGCCAGCAGUUUCCAAGCAGUAAGUGUCAGACUGCAUUCCUCUAGGGAUAAUAGAGAGGCUAUGCCUUCAGCUUUUCCCUAAAAAGAGAAAGUUAAGUCUCUCAUUCAGAUGUUUACAAACUACUCUGAGACCUGAAUAGCUAAAAUGGGUAUUUUUAAACUUUAGGAUCCAUAAUGUAUGUGCAUGAGCCUUCCUGAGAUUUUUGCCUCAAGGGGAAAAAAAAAAAGGGAAAAGGAAAAAUGAACUUAAAUAGAAGGUGAAGGCUUUAACAAAAUGUCAGAGUUAGGACCUGAAAAAAAUGUAACUUGCUUCAGAAUAUGGAAACUGCAUGUGAGGCACAGUUUUGCAGUUUAGACAUGAAAUCUCAUCAUUUGGAACAGUUCCACUCUGCUGAGUGUCUGGAAAAGUUGGCUGGAAUUUGCUCAGCAAGAACAUGGAUGGUUGUGUCCCAGACCUGGCACACACCCUGCUGAGGAAACGUGGGUGCUGGUGGCACAUGGAGAUUUUCUUCAGGGUAGUGUUUGGGGGGUUGCUUGCUGCUCUUCUUGUUUGAGUUCUCUUUUACAUAAAAUCUUGUGCUGGUUAGGAUGAUGCUCUGCCUCCUUAUGACUCUAGACUUAAAGAAACAAGCCUAAAACUUACAAGGUGUUAAACUCUGCUCCUGCUUUUAUCCUUAUGCACUUGGAAAUGGAAUACGCAGUGAUUAAAGGAAAGUACAUGAAAUAUACUGAGUUGAAUCUAAACUUAUUUUUCAGACUUCAUUUAUAUGCUAUUAAUCAUUGCUUUAUAAUCACCAUAAAACAGCAGAUUGUCUGCUUAUGCACUUUCUCUUCAUUGCUUAACCACUUGAGAACAGACUGCUGCAGACACCCUGCUCUACUGCUAUUUCACACAGGGUAGGUCUGGGAAUAUAUUCAGAACCACAUUAUUUCCAAUCAUUCAUAGACUGUAUUUCUCACUAUUAAAAUGCAGCCAUAAAAUCAUUUUAAUACUGCUAUUAAAAUAAUUGACUGUAAAUGCCACGUGUAAUCCAGCUCUUCUGCUAGCUUUAUUUGGUUUUAAACAUUCGCAGUGUGAUUUUGAUUCAUCAGGAAAAUGCUUGGACUCUGGUUUGAAACCUACUGGAAAAAAUACCCUAAGUAUCUGCAUAUCAGUUAAGGUUUUGAGUAGAGUGGGGAGCACCAGGGAGGGUAGUAGAGAAAAUCACACAGAGCAGAAAAAAAUAAACCUCUUCAGUUUCAGAAACA
ensembl:lncRNA